CAGAGGAGGGAAUCUUGGAGGUCAAAAGGCAGGCAGCAAGAGCCAGCCCCAGUCCCUGCGUUGGGAGUCUACUCCAUGCCACCUGCAGAGAUCUGAUUGUGUCUGGAUUAAGGAAACCGUCCUCAACAUAGUUGGUAUCCUUGCCUGCUGGCAGGCACACCAUCUCCCCAGAGGCUCCCCAGGCUCCCUCCCACCUGUGCUGGUCUACAGAGAAGGUCCCUUCACUGAUGAACACCACCUGGUGGAAAUACCUGGGAGGUUACACCUGCCACUUGGUCACACCCCCAUGACAGUAGGCAGCCAGGCCUGUGGUCACCUGGUCCAGGGAAGUUCAAAAGUCCGGCACCCUCCCCUCAAGACAGUACAACUCCAAUGAGAUUUAUUCUUCAGAACUCUCCCCUGGUCCAACCCCAGUGGAGUGAUUGGUGAAUACAAAAAGGUUUGCUAAUACACUGAUGGGAAUGCAGGCAAAGAGACACACCACCCUCCAUGCAGGAGGCCUUGGCAUACCUGUCCACAUUACAGACACACCUGCCUGUACCCAGCAUUCGCUUCUGAGAAGUUCGCCUGUGGGGAUACAAGGACUUGAACUCGGAGAUGUAUGUACAUAGACAGCAGGCAGCAGAGGACAGAGAAACAAUCUCAGCGCCCAUCCAAAGGGGUUGGCCAGAUGGAAACAUUCCUGGAGGAUGGGCAGGAGGUGGACACUUCUGGACCAGCACAGCCUCCCCAGGAAGGAGCGAAGUCAGGAAGAUGAAGAGAAAUGGUCCAGGUGGCACCUCUCAGGCUGGGAACAGAAAGCAGAGAGAAUCAAAGGCGUCUCCAGAACAACCCUGGCCGGGGAGGCGGGGACAGAGGCCGGGGAGCCUCUUGAGGAGGCCACAGGUCCGGGCCUCCCCUCCCCUCUGUUCCCCAGGCACACAGCGGAAUUGGACAGAGGGAAGGCAGAAGGGAAGGGUGCAGUUCAGGCCUCGGCGUCGAGGGAGAGAGGGAGCGCAGGUCAGGCCAGGGAAGGGCCGCGUGGGCCUAGGCGUCCUGCGUGCAUGUGUGUGUGCCCCAACGCGGGUGCAUGUGCCUGCGUGUGUUUAAUUUAAACUUCAACAAAAGAAAGCAAAGAUGGCCUUAGUAAUAUCCAUGAAAGGAACAUACUGAACACCGUGCAGAGGCUCGGGGUGAAACAGCACUAACAAGCUCAGGACUCCCUUCCAAAGCCCUGGCCGUGCGCCGGGCCGUGUGCUCACUGCUUACUACGUGCUGAUGAGCUUCCUCACAGCUCUGCUCAGUGGACACUAUUCCACCCCACCUCUGAGAUGAGAAAACAGAGGCACACCCAGGGGAGCCACACAAGCAGCACAGAGUGGCCCCCAUCCAGGGCUUGAGCCGCUGCCGUCCAGCUCCAGAGUCUACACUCCUGGAGAAUCACGAGAAGAUGCAAUUAAUCGUGAUUUUCCCUUUUACUCACACUUUUAUAUGCCAAAUAGCUACAAAA